rnacentral:rRNA from 1 species
UUAACACAUGCAAGUCGAACGGUGAAGCCAAGCUUGCUUGGUGGAUCAGUGGCGAACGGGUGAGUAACACGUGAGCAACCUGCCCUGGACUCUGGGAUAAGCGCUGGAAACGGCGUCUAAUACUGGAUAUGAGCNUNCUCCGCAUGGUGGGGGUUGGAAAGAUUUUUCGGUCUGGGAUGGGCUCGCGGCCUAUCAGCUUGUUGGUGAGGUAAUGGCUCACCAAGGCGUCGACGGGUAGCCGGCCUGAGAGGGUGACCGGCCACACUGGGACUGAGACACGGCCCAGACUCCUACGGGAGGCAGCAGUGGGGAAUAUUGCACAAUGGGCGGAAGCCUGAUGCAGCAACGCCGCGUGAGGGAUGACGGCCUUCGGGUUGUAAACCUCUUUUAGCAAGGAAGAAGCGAAAGUGACGGUACUUGCAGAAAAAGCGCCGGCUAACUACGUGCCAGCAGCCGCGGUAAUACGUAGGGCGCAAGCGUUAUCCGGAAUUAUUGGGCGUAAAGAGCUCGUAGGCGGUUUGUCGCGUCUGCUGUGAAAUCCCGAGGCUCAACCUCGGGCCUGCAGUGGGUACGGGCAGACUAGAGUGCGGUAGGGGAGAUUGGAAUUCCUGGUGUAGCGGUGGAAUGCGCAGAUAUCAGGAGGAACACCGAUGGCGAAGGCAGAUCUCUGGGCCGUAACUGACGCUGAGGAGCGAAAGGGUGGGGAGCAAACAGGCUUAGAUACCCUGGUAGUCCACCCCGUAAACGUUGGGAACUAGUUGUGGGGUCCUUUCCACGGAUUCCGUGACGCAGCUAACGCA